rnacentral:rRNA from 1 species
AUUGAACGCUGGCGGCAGGCCUAACACAUGCAAGUCGAGCGAGCGGCGGACGGGUGAGUGAUGUCUGGGAAACUGCCUGAUGUAGGGGGAUAACUACUGGAAACGGUAGCUAAUACAGCAUACCAUCAGAUGUGCGCCGAUGGGAUUAGCUAGUGGGUGGGGUAAAGGCUCACCUAGGCGACGAUCCCUAGCUGGUCUGAGAGGAUGACCAGCCACACGGGAACUGAGACACGGUCCAGACUCCUACGGGAGGCAGCAGUGGGGAAUAUUGCACAAUGGGCGCAAGCCUGAUGCAGCCAUGCCGCGUGUGUGAAGAAGGCCUUCGGGUUGUAAAGCACUUUCAGCGGGGAGGCGUUACCCGCAGAAGAAGCACCGGCUAACUCCGUGCCAGCAGCCGCGGUAAUUC